UACGUAGGUCCCGAGCGUUGUCCGGAUUUAUUGGGCGUAAAGCGAGCGCAGGUGGUUUAUUAAGUCUGGUGUAAAAGGCAGUAGCUCAACCAUUGUAUGCAUUGGAAACUGGUAGACUUGAGUGCAGGAGAGGAGAGUGGGAUUCCAUGUGUAGCGGUGAAAUGCGUAGAUAUAUGGAGGAACACCGGUGGCGAAAGCGGCUCUCUGGUCUGUAACUGACGCUGAGGUUCGAAAGCGUGGGUAGCAAACAGG
rnacentral:rRNA from 1 species